UACGGAGGGUGCGAGCGUUGUCCGGAAUCACUGGGCGUAAAGGGCGCGUAGGUGGUGGCUUAAGCGUGCGGUGAAAGCUCGGGGGCUCAACCCCCGAGUCGGCCGUGCGAACUGGGCUCACUGGAGCAUAGUAGAGGCAGGUGGAAUUCCGGGUGUAGCGGUGAAAUGCGCAGAUAUCGGGAAGAACACCCGUGGCGAAGGCGGCUCUCUGGGACGGUACUGACGCUGAGACGCGAAAGCGUGGGGAGCGAACAGGAU
rnacentral:rRNA from 1 species